rnacentral:rRNA from 1 species
CAUGCAUGUCUAAGUUUAAGUAACUAAACAGCGAAACUGCGAACGGCUCAUUAAAUCAGUUAUAACCUACUCGAUAGUUCUUUAUCCUAAUCGGAUAACUGUAGUAACUCUAGAGCUAAUACGUGCACUAAAGCCCUCACUUUUUGGAAAGGGCGCACUUGUUAGGUCCUAACUCCUCACCUUCGGGUGUUGAGAUGAUUCUAAACAAUUAUUGCUGAGCGUAGUAAUCUUGUAUUGACGCUAGAUCGAUCGGGUUUCUGCCCUAUCAACUUGAUUGUAGUGUAUUGGACUACAAUGGUGAUAACGGGUAACGGGGAAUUAGGGUUCGAUUCCGGAGAGGGAGCCUGAGAGAUGGCUACCACUUCCAAGGAAGGCAGCAGGCGCGCAAAUUACCCAAUGCCAAUACGGCGAGGUAGUGACAAUAAAUAACGAUCCUGAUCCCUAUGGGGUUGGGAAUUGGAAUGAGUACAAUGUAAAUAACUUAACGAGGAACAAUUGGAGGACAAGUCUGGUGCCAGCACCCGCGGUAAUUCCAGCUCCAAUAGCGUAUAUUAAAGUUGUUGCAGUUAAAAAGCUCGUAGUCGGAUUUCUGUUGGAAACCCGCCUGGCGUACUUCAAAGCGAUAGCUAGGGUAUGUUAGGUUGGUUCCUACAUGUCGUUCGUUAGGUGGAUUCUGUCCUUAACUGGAUGGUUUUCAACUGCGAACCUAUUACCUUGAACAAAUUAGAGCGUUCAAAGCAGGCAUUUGCCCUGAAUAUAUUAGCAUGGGAUAAUGGAAUAGGACUUCCUUGAGUUUAGGGGUUAUCUUGAGGGGGUAAUGAUCAAUAGAGAUUAUUAGGGCCAUUCGUAUUCAGUGGUUAGAGGUGAAAUUCUUAGAUUCACUGAAGACGAACUAGUGCGAAAGCAUUUGGCAAGGUAUUCUCAUUGAUCAGAACGAAAGUUAGGGGAUCGAAGACGAUCAGAUACCGUCGUAGUCCUGACUA